GCGCCCGUGGUGAAAUGGAUAUCAUAACAGGCUUCGAACCUGUUGGUGGGGGUUCGAUUCCCUCCGGGCGCA
rnacentral:tRNA from 6 species